AUCCAGUCGUCAAACAGUCGCGAUCAAUCCGAUCACCGAGCCUGCACACCUAUUUCCGCCAUUUUCGAUCGCACAAUCGCGAAUGUGAACAUUUUAUUUUUCAAGCUCGAAGAGUUUGGAGAAAAAUUUCAAAAAUUCUCAGCAUUUUCGUUGCUACGGUGAAAUAAGUCGAUCGAGUCCGUUUCUUUUAUACAGCUAUCGAUCGAUGGAUUUAAUUGUCGAUCGAAAACGAAGAAAAUCGACGAAAGAAGAGAGAAAAAAAAAGAAUAAAGAGUCGAUUGAUACGGAUGAUCGGGCUUGACCUCGCUUCUGUUUUCGACUGUAUUCGAAGGGGGGGAAGGGGGAAUUCUCGCAAGGAAAGGCGGAGCUAAACGUAACCGGCUCUGAACAAACAUUUGCAAUCCACGCCCGCUAUCUUCCGCACCAUCUCGUUGACUAUUUGUAAACACUGUCACAACAAUCUACGUAUCAUUUCACCCCCCUCCUCCUCCUCCUCCAUCGAUAAUCCCGCGGUAUCAGACAUUUUUUUUAACACCGUUCGGCCAACCAGUAUUCGAGGAAUAAAGAAAUUAUUUAUCCGCGCGAAAGAAAUAUAGCGCGAGUAGAGGAUACUUGGUGGUAAUGGAACGACAUUAACGCGGAAUAUUUUUAUGGAAAAAUAUUUUUUUUUCUUCGCGAUGUCGAAGAAAGAAGGACAACGGGAGGAUCUCUCUUGCGUUGCGGCAACUGUUAUAUAAGACGUUCGUUAGUACCAGAAAAUUAUGAACAUGUGUCAUAUACGUGCCCACCCACUUAAUGUAUGUAUAAAUAUACGCGUGUAUUUUAUAUAUAUAUUUCUCCGUGUUUUCUCUUCCUCUUAAGAUUUAUGAUUCCUUAAGAUUUUUUUCUCUCUACAAUUAUAGUAACAAAAUACACAAGUUGUUUUAAGAGUUUCGAAACGGUACAGUGAUUUCGAAUUAUAAGACGAGUGUGUGCGCGUGCGUGCGUGUUUUUUUUUUCAAAAGUGUGUUUCAAUUCGCAUUCCAACGAUUUUUAAUCUUUGUAUCAAUAAUUUUCCGAUCUCCUCUAUUCAAUAUAUAUAUAUAUAUUGUUCCUUUCCCCUCUUUUCUUCCUUUUUUUUUUCUCACGAGAUGAUCAGGAAUUACCCUGAUCGAUGACUACGCAAGUGCGUGUCAACGCUGAAAAUAUUUACACAGAAAUUCUUUCCAUAACACGUAGACACAGAUCGUGACAACGAUAUUUUUCAGGAUAACAUCCCGACAUUCCGUUUCCAGCGGAACGGUGCGUUACGUAAGGGAAAACGUCUUGGACGCGCGUGGAACAAUACGCUUUGCGCCCGCGUACUGCGUCCCGUGGUGUGCAUGACUGGCCGUUUAAUCCGCGAGGCCAUUUUCUAUUCGCGAGGAGAACGCGAUGUGAAAUGCAACGCGAUGACGCAACGACAACAAAGAGAGAAACAAACGAGCCGGCGGAUGCUCGCCCAUUAUAUCUAAUUACGCCGAUCAAUCCGCACGAUUCCAGUCGAAAAUUACCAGUUUCCAGCUUGCGCGUCUUUGUUUCGCCAUUUCCAAUGGCGUUAUUCAGGGGAGUUAUCGAAAACGCGGGGCAUCGUUAACGCGUCCACCUUUCGAAAUUUGGCGAAAUUAAAGGCGGCUCCGUCAUUGAAUCAAUUCGACUCGUCUCGAAGAACGUUUAAAAUUGGAAACGAAUGGAGAUUUGUUUGUUGUGGAACGAUUCUUGAUUUUCGCUUGAAAUGAUGCAACGCGCGAAAAUCGUGCCAAAAGCGACCGAUGGAUGAAUUCCUUCGUGGCUAAUCAUUCGCAAUGAUUACGCGCAAGGGCUGCGAAUAGUAUUACAGUGCAUCGUUUGUAUCUGUCGUCAUGCAUAUUCAACUCGAAUUAAUCACGUUCAAUUAUAUCCUAGAAUAGAAAAAGUAGGAAAAUUAUUGGAUAAUAUUGGAUCUGAUAUACGCUCGUUAAAAAUACGCGUAAUAAUUCGUAAUAAUCGAUAUUCAUAAGUUUCGAUAAUAAAUGGACUUUUACAUCAAAAAAAAAAAAAGAAAAAAGGAAAGAAACUAUUGCAUAAAAUAUGAAUAAUUACAUCCAGAGAGCAGAAUGUUGAACAAAUGUCGCAAUAUCGCUGAAAUUUGCAAAAUACCCAAACAUCGCGUUUAUCCUAUCCAAAGUCUGCCAAAGUCUGUCAAUACGUUUCGAUCUUUCUCGAAUCCGUCCCCUUGUGUACACAAUCCGUCCUUUACCGUGAUUUUCCAUGGCUUUCUUUCUUUCUUCUAAGUCACCCUGGAUUUCGCGAAAUGUUUAUUUCCAUCGUGGAAAUGUACCCGCAUUUUCGAUUUCGAUAUCUCGGCCACUUGGCCCAACGCCGAAUUUAUGAAUCGGUCGGCGAGAAUUCGUCGCGAAUAUGGCGUGUUGAAUCAGAAACAUUCAACAAUGCCCAACUACGAGGAAAAACCGGUGAAAAUUGGAGACGGGAAAACGUAUAUACUUUUUCUUUCUUUAUUUCUUUCUUUCUUUCUUUCUUUUUUUUUUUUUAAUUUCUGAAACCGUACUUUGCACUUUGCUUGUUUAGAUAAAUUGUAAACCGCACUCGAUGCAUUAUCUAAACAACGAAAAAAAAAAAAAAAUACAUAUAAGAGUGACGAUAACGAAAUAUGUUAUAAAAUAUAUCGUCGUUUUGAAAAAGAAGACCGAAGUUACCAAAGUUUCCGUCAAAUUGCAUCAUGAAUAUAUUUAUACGAUAAAUUGUUAUUAAUCGUUGCAAUUAGUUGGGCGGCCUCUACUCUCGCCGCGGGUGUAAAAAAACCGCUCUAAUUACACGGAAAGGGGAGGAGGGGGCGAAACGGAGGAUCCUUCUUCUGUGGCCACGGUUCGAUCCGAGCAAAACUUUUACUCCCGAUCGUCCUCCUUUUCUUAGAUAUUCUCGACCACGGUUCAAGGGAGAAAGGAGAGUACGGUGUUUUGCGUUGCUUUUGCUUUCACACCCCGUUGGAGGCACGGCGGCGACAAAAAGACAGAGGACUUGUCCCUCCAGCUGUGUAAAAACCGAUGCUCCGCUUUUACCUCGCUACUAUAUCGCGGCAACGGGACGCGAACGGGACGCAAAUAGAACGUCGUUGCAAGGUAAACAGCAAACGGAUGUAGGAACGAGCGAACUGUAUAGAAUAUAUUAGCUCGAUGUGGAAUAAAGAGGCCGGAGGGAGGGAGGGGGGCUCGUUUGCCGUUCCUCUCUUUCAGGGAAAAGUACAAUUUUCGAUAUUUUAAGAUGGAAAGUAACCGAGGAUGGAAUAUAUUUAUACGACGGAAGACGAUUCUUCCAAGUUUUCUAUAACGAAUCCUCUUCUCGAAGAUCUCGGUUAUUAUUCGCCCGCAUUUCGACGUGACGGAAAACUUUUCACGAAGCUGUAUAACUCUCUCAUCGAAUUUGACGUAUCAACAUUGCACCAGAAUCGAAGAGAGUAGUAGAGGUAUUGGAAACUCGAAAUCGAUCGAUAAAUUUUAAUUCUUUCAGUUCUUUUCGAUCGUUCGAUCGAUCGUUCCAUUCACCGAACUCGACAAUUGCGGACAAUUUUCUCGAUUGGCCUAAUUUCUAUUCUCGACACGCGAGAAAACGAAAAAGUUUUAAAGAACCGUCGUAUUACUCGCGUCAAAAGCCGAAGCUUUUUAAUCAAUCCAGCGGCAAAAGCUCGUGGGCGUGGCGUAUCAUUCCUCGAGAUUUCAAGAAAAGCGACAAUAAGCUCGGCUUCUAUCGGCCCCGAUCGCCUCGUCGAUCCGGGGGGAAUUACGAAAGCCGACCUUCGGACUGGCGAGCGUACAGUUUCGAACCCCACGUAAUCUCGUUUCGCGCGUGUUACAAUAUAUAUAUAUAUAUGCAUAAGGAGAAAAAAAGGAAUUGGUCAGAUCGGGUUCGCCGGGCCCGAAUUCGAAACCGAAUCUUUUAUUUCUAGGACGAUCGUCAACCGGUUGCGGCCGGCUUGGCAGAUUCCUUCUGGUUCGAGAGCCUAGGCGAACGAUUCGAAACGAUCUUCUAAAAAAAGCGCGUGCAUCACGAGUUUAAUUGCAAAACCUAAACCUAGACGUGAGCGAAUCCACGGAUUUCCUGCUCGAUAAAAAUUCGACACGGCGACAGAAUCGAGAUUUGCCUUUGCUCCUCCUCCUCCUCCUCUCUCUCCUCUCCAGACGGCGGUGUACAAUUUCUACGUAAACGAGAUGGGGCGAUUCACAUACGCGAAAAUGUAUGAAUAAUGCAGCAACGUGCCAGGAAUCGACACGCGAUUCUUGUAAUACACCGUCGUAAGACAAGAACCGUGGAACCGAAAUGCGAAAACGUGCGAAUGACGUCGCCAUGGGUCGCGUUAUUGAUACGUCGUAUUAUCACUUUUGAAAAUACGAUUCGACGGUGUUCCGGUUACGACAAUGUUCCGGACGAGUUGUGAAUAACGUACACACGGCAGCUGGCGCCUGCUGACUUCUGUUCCUCGCCGAGAUAAGAUGGAAAGUGUGGAGAGGACGAAGCGGAGGAGUGGAAUAGUGGUUCACGUUUCGUUUCGUUUCGUUUCGUUUCGUUUCGUUUCGUUUCGAGGCGAUGCGCCGGUCAGCGGACGUGUCAUCGGCGAUACCAUCUUCCGCGAGUCAUCCCACCUCGACGAUCUUUAUAUCCCUACGCCAUUUCUCUCCACCCUCCGCCAUUUCUCACGGCCGGACACGGCGCACGGAUUUUUCGAAGCUUUUAUCUCUAUCGCGGACGCAUGCAUAAAUACUCGCGGGCGUGUAUUUUUAGAUCUAACGAAACGUAUGAAAAAUGCAAAAUCCUUUCAACUCGCUCAAUUCUUUUCUCUCACGCGAUAUACUCGAGUGUAUAUACAUAUAUAUAUAUAUAUAUAGAAAUAUUCAUUCGCGUUAAUACAAAACAGAAUUCUCUCUCGCGACCUCUUUCGCGAAAAUAAAAAUGCAUCGUCCAUUGAAACGCAGCCGCUCAAAAUUUCUCAACUUUCCAUCUAAUCCAAACGGUUUUAACCUCGGGAUGGAAAUCUCUUCCACGAGGAAACGAUCGAAUCGUAGCAAUUUCCUUGGAUCGCCUCGUUCCACUAACUCACUACUAGAAGGCGUGAAGCGAGAAAAAUCAAGGCUCAGAAGAAACGGGACAACGGCGAUCCAACGCGAUAUUACAACCGCUCACCAUUCAAGGUCUCCCGUUCAGGGAAACGUAUUUCUAAUGGAUACACGCGUACAGCCGCUCGCAAAAUUCUUCUCGGCAUUUCUUCUACUAUUUUAAAUAAAAAAAUAAAACGUACAGAUAUCGCUCCAUCGUGAAACAACCAUUCCCACGCGAAAUUAUUUAUAUAUCGCCAGAAUCGUAUAUCUUUAACCUAUCCAUAUACGUAUCUUUCUUACACACUUUUCUCUAGAAUUACGAGAGAUAUUUCUUUCUAUUAUCGAUACGAUCAUUCGAACGAAAAAAUACCUUAAUCUUCCCGCUCGAACCACACUUUUCGUUCCAUCAUCUGGAUCGUCAGAUCGACCGAAUUACGUGUUUACGCGUAACGAAACGUAACGCAAAGCGUCGCGAUCGGUUUAUCAAAGAGGGGGAGCGGAACAUCGUGGCGUGGUGAUGUAAUCGGGGACGUAAACCGCGGGCGACGCCGUGUCUGGCUGAGUCGGCCGAUGGCCAACGACCAAUGGGAAAACGCGGCACGUUUGUACCUCGGACCGCGUGUGUACGAUAUCCUUUCGCUGGCCUCGUUCCCUUGCCAAACCUCUGAUCGCGUUUCUGAUCGCGUUCCAUUACCGAGCCAGGAUCAAGGAUAUCGUGUAUGUGUGUGCGUGAGUGUACGCCCGUUUCGACGACUUUCGGGUCUUUGUCCCUCGUGACCGGAUCGUCUGGCUUUGGGCAUAAAAUAGUCGAUCCUUUUUGGAAGCGUGGAUCGGUCUACGGGCUUGAAACUAGUCGGUCCCUCGAGGGGGGUUGCUUCUGGCACUGUUUGGGACUGGUCAUACUAUUUUUUUAUUUUUUUUUUCUUCACUUCAGGUUUCGAAAAGGUAUUUUACGACCUGAGCGAUUAUGAUUUAGUAUGCGUGUUUUUUUUUUCUUCUUUUUAUAGUUUCGUUGCGGAUGAUAAUUAUAUUGGAACGUGUAUAUCAGGUGAUUUGAAUAUAUUUUUGUUUUUUUUUUUUUAUAGUUUGUUGUAUUGUAAAUAACGAUUUCGAAUUAUUAGAUAAUUUAAGAUGUAUUUAAGAUUGGAAUUCUUUUUCUUUCGCUAUAUAUGUUUUUCAUAUUCUUUCGCGUUAAAGAAUAUGGAAAUUGUUACGAGCGAUGCGCGUAUUUUUAUAUAUAUAUAUAUCGCAAUUCUGCUGUUAGAUAUUUUGAACGUGAUUGAACGCAUCGAAGAUUGAAAUUUUUUUUUUUGUUAUUCCAUUAUUUCGCCGUUGAAGAAGAUGUAACAACCAUGAACAAUCAUGAUGAAAUUUUAUGCGCGCAUUAUUUUUAUACCUUGUUGGCAUUGUGGGUAAUGAUUUUAAACGUGUAUUAGAGAGAUACACGUGUGACACGCGUUAAUUAAAUUUGCCACGAUCUUUUGAAUUUUUAUUAUCCCAUCCGCGGCCUUGUUUUGACAAAUGAAAAAAGUAAGCAACGUAAUUUGACGAAAAUCAUGAAUAUUAAUCGUAUGAAUUUAUCCUCAGACUUGAAAAAAAAAAAAAAAAGAAAAGAAAAAAAGAAGAUAAAGAGAGAAGAAGAUGGAAACAAUCUUAUAAAUUGUAUCCGACGAAGACAGACGAUAUUUUUUUCGAAACUCUAAGGCGCCGGAAAGAUUUAUGGAAACCGAUGAUAUUUUCAAAAGAUAUACACACAAGGAAUUUACGCUCGAGGACUUACACGCGUAUAUGUAUUUGCAUACAUACGUUAUACAUACGUAUUACAUCCACGGACCACGGUACAGUUACGUUUAAUACAUGCAGAAUGGGAUUUCCCUGGCUACGUUUCUUCAAGAGUAAAUUUGACACAGGUUGGUUCUUCAGAGAUGGAAACUAUUUUAAAUAAAAAAAUCUUUGUUGAAAAACGUUGCUCCUUUGAAAGGAUUACGAUCGGAAAAGAAAUAAAUAUAUACGUAAUAUGUACGUACGUACAACUCGCGGGACGAGAAAACGUGUAUUGUAUCCAGGAUCCGUGGAGCGAGCAAUUAAAACGUGCAGCAAAGCUUGCGAAAGAAGUCAUUUGGGGCGCUAUUCAUAGUUUAAAGAGGAGGCCGGUUUGGGCAGUCAAUUAAUUCCGACACAGAGAGUGGACUCUCCCGGUUAUUUAUGUCGUGGCGUGGUAAAUGUCAACGAAAGAGGAACCAGAUGUCCUCGUUUGGCAUUGUGAUAUCGAAUAAAAUUGCCGCUCCGGUACGCCGCAUUCCACCGCGAUUACAAAUGAAAUCUCAUUACACCGUGGCACGGUAUAUAACAUAGGCGAAAUAGACCUAUAGCUAAGUACGUAUAGCUUGGAGGCUGAACGUUUCUUUAAACCGUUCUUUCACCGCCGCUCCGAGUAUGUAUAUAUAUAUAUAUAUAUAUGAACCGCGGCCUGCAAUAUUCACGCGAUUUAUUCAAAGACGUAAAAUGCGAGCGAAGUUGCGUCGAUAAAAUCACUCGGCGUUUUUUUUUUUCUAAAAAACAAUGCGCGGCAUUCAUAAAUUGCAAAUUUUGAUCGUCGACGAAUCGAAUAAUGGCAUCGAGGACUCAUCGGCGACGAGCAUUAACAAAGCGAUAAUUCAGAGCUGACGGGCUCAAGGAGAAUCCGUUAUUUGCAUACAGUGUGUAUCGUUGUCACUUUUGAACAAUUUUCCCUCUCCUUUUUUUCUCUUUCUCUCCUCUUUUCAAGUGGAUAGAUUAGAAUUCGCGACAAAGGACAAAGGUAAGGAGAAUGCGGAUCACUAACAUCUCCUCCUCCACGUCGUCAAAGGUGAAGUGGGGAAAAAAAAAAGAAGAAGAAAAAGAAAAAAAUAGGGGAGACGGUCGGUGGACAAUGCGCAAUUUACCGCGAAAGAAACGGGGCAGGCAACGAGCUUCCGUGUUAGAAUACGUAGGUAGAGUGAGUAGGGGCGGAAGAGGGAAGGGGAGCCGCGGCGGCCGGAAAUCGGUGGCAGCGCUAUUAGAAACGCGGCCAUUUAAUGCCACGGCUGACGAUUGUCAGCGAAAUUGGAUAAUACCGCUGCGGAAUUUCACUUCCUUUCACGUGAUUUUACGGCGCAUUAAUCGAAAGGACUGGUCGACUAAUAAUCCUCGAAAGAAGAAAAUAGAGGGAGGAGAGAAAAAAAAGAAAGAAAGAAAGAAAGAAAGAAACACACGCAUACUCGUUCACCUCGAAACAUUUCGAUUCGAGGAUAAUGCGAUUCUCGAAGCGAGGAGGAGCAUGCGGUAACCGUCCCCCCCCCCCCGCCGUUUUAUCGAAUUUUCAAUUCUUCCGUUCCAACUUCUUAUCUCUCGUAUCUUAUUCGUCGGUGUUUCGGGCCCCCUCGAUGCGAAGUACGAUUUUAUCGAGUGUCGCUCGGUGGUGGAGCUCGUAAACGAAGCUCAUCGUGAAAUUUCAUCAUCGCGAACGAGCUUGUCGAGAAGAUAACCGCGUUAUAAUACUCCACCCUCCACGGCGAAGAGAGAGGGAGAAGGAGAAGGAGGAGAAGGAGGAACGGCUGCCGCCUUUCCUGCCCUUCCUCCGGACGAGAGGGAAAAGAAGAAAGGGGUGGCGUGGAAAUUUCUUCCCGGCGCAUCCCUCUCGAGGAAUCUAAUAAUAACAUCCUUGACCCGGUUUCCAUGGCGAUGGGAUCGCGUUUAAUCCAAUAGUUGGAGUCUGAUCGCGUUUGUCGUUGGGCAAACAACCGGGUAAACAAAAGUUGGACGCGGGUGAUAAGGGAUUGCUUCUUCCGGGACACCCCCUUUGCCAGCCUCGAUCGAUCGGGGGGAGAGAGAGGGAGGGAGGGAGCCGGUGAAAAUAAAACGAGCGCAUUCCCGAGCGAUAGAAAGUGGCGUGGUCGAACGUGGUGGAUAAAAUCAAUGAAAGCGAUUCAAGCGUCCGCUCCGUUUUCACGGCCAGUCAUCAUCACGCGGAGAACGUGAAAAUUGGACGCAACGAUUCGCUCUUGGAAGGAUCUGGGUUGCGAAAAAACUUGGCGUACUCGUCUUAGAUGGCGAUCGUUUUGAGAGAUCGUUCCCCUCCUCGCGUAUCCUCUUUCUUUUUUUCCCCCAUCCCCCGUUUUACACACUUUCCCCUUGUAUCUUCGAACCAUCUCCAAGAUAGCGAAGCGCAACCCAGUUUUCUAGCUCCAGCGGAAUCAGCGACCACGACGGGUGAGCCGUGAUCCGUGCGUAGAAAGUGAUGGAACGUUUCCGGAGCGAACGCGAGCGAUAACGAAAGGGAAUAGAGAGAGAGAGAGAGAGAGAGAGAUGAUUGUCGUCGCUGGAAGAGAAUUUAUCUCUUCGAGGUGAUGAAGAAAAAGAGAGAGAGAGAGAAGGAUAGGCGGCGGACGACAUCGACGUGAUCGGAGACGAAGAGACCGAGGGAAAGUAGCGAUCAGUUUUACCGCGAUACGCUCGACUUGGCACACGUGUGUCUGCCAGCAGAUGGUCUUGGCCUUUUGUACGACGGAUCGACGACCGUCACGAACUCGAUAGAAUCGCGGUUACUCCACUCCACGAGCUGUGCGACGGCGGACAAAAAGGAGGAAGGAGAAAAAAAGAAGAAGAGAAAGGGGAGAAGGAAGGAGAAGAAAAGGAAGAGAAAGAAGAAGAGGUGAAAGAGACGAAGAAGGAAGAAAUCGAAGGCAUGACACGCGUGUGUCGGAGGAAUUGACGACACGGAAGGUGGGGGAUAUUCUGUCUACCACGCGAUAGGUAGCUGCGCUCCAACGAAAGAGAGAGAGAGAGAGAGAGGGGGGAGAAUCUAUAGGCUCAAAGUCUUGGCUCAUCUCCAGGGCAUUGUCUUUUUUACGAUGACGAGUAGCCUCGAGGGCUGAAGCGGCCGGAGGUAGGACGCAGUCGAGGUAAGAAAGGAAAACAGCUCGGUCUAUGAAUGUGCCGACGCAUGGGACGGAUCACCACGGAGAGGUCCGUGGGUCAACGCUCGGACGAGAGGAGGAUGGUUUUCCUUUUCUUUUGGUUGCUUUUAGAUCGUGGUAUAAAUAUAAACGAGAAUCGGCGCAUGGCUCUGCUUCGUGUCGAACUUGGUGACUCGAACGAAAUAAUAUCGGAGACGGCACGAGCGCGACACGAGUCCCUCGAAUGCACCGAUCACUCGCCUUAUUGCGAGACCGCACGCGGCAUCCAACAUUUUCAAUUAACGGUUCGAUUACGCAAACCGUGUCAUCGCCGCUCUUCCCAUCGCGUCGCGUCGUUCGCGCGCGAUCUCGGUCAAAUCCAGAUGAAUCCGUCCAUUGUAUCGCGGCGGAAAGAACGAGGAAAGAAAAAAAGGAUUAUCAGCAAUUAUCCAUCCUUGCAAAGAUAUUUUAUCCAACUGUAACUUUCCCAGCGUCGAUUUUCGUUUUAUUUAUCUUCUAUCGCGAAUGUGUCACAUAUCCGUCCGUCUAACGACACGUAUACGUGGAAGAAACGAAACAAAGCAGCAGAAAUCGUGGAAUGGAAAAGUUUACGCUCGAAAAUUUUCCGCGCGGAAAUUUUGAUCGAGGUCGCCACUCUUGACGCAACUCUUGGGGAAACGAAAAAAAUACGAUCGACGGAAGGAGUAUAUAUACCCAUAUAUGUAUAUAUACACAUAUGUACAUUCGAUAUUCCGCGCCACGAACACGGAAUAUUUGCACCUCCCGAUAAUCACCUGGUUAGGAAUUCGCUUGGCUGGCUGAAACGAAUAUCCACCCCGGCCGGUCGUGGCCCGUCGAUCGUGAAAGUGGCAUAACCCGCGCGCUUCUUGUCCGUGCGUAAUGGCGGUGAGUGGCUUAUUCCACUGCAACAGCGCCGCGCAUGCGGUGUAGGACGCUUAUCGGUCCGUUUAGGGGAUAGGAGGAAACUACUGGUGCGGCCGGAUAAUAAAGGUUCAUUGUCCCUACUUCUAUGUAGCGCCAAUUAUUUCGACGUUCUUCUCUGCGGACAUUGAUAUUCGGAGAAACAGAUUUGAGCGCAUCCGCUCCACGAUGAAAUGACGGGUUUAACGAGCUCGUACCCUAGGAGGGUACAACCGGUUGGCUACUCUGUGAACCAUUUUUAUUUCCACGGACUGGACGGAUGGAAGGAGGAACACGAUCGCGAGGUCGAAACAAUAGACGGAACAAAAGGGAAGAGACGAGAAGAUUUUUACAUCGUCGUUAUUUCGCUGAGAAUAAACGGAGCAGUAACAUUUUUCCACGUAAUUAAACUCGAAACAGAUUUAAAUGCACAGUUCGAGACAGAGAGAUGGGAUAACGACGACGAGUAGCUUUCACGCGAAUUCGACGAUCGUUCCGGUGAUAAAAGUUUACUCGGUAAAAGUGGUAUGGACGAAAUCGCGGCGAGACGGUCGCACCGACACGUCGGGGAAAGUGUAAAAGCAACGUGAAUCGUAUAUGCAAACAUAUACGUACAUUCCCCGAGUGGGAAAUAAUUAGCGGAGAGAAGAGUAAAUUUUAUGAAUAUUUUACGAUAGUUGGGUCUGUCACGGACACGGUUUAACGAUAGACGCGGUUCAAAUUAAUUUCGCCAUUACGAUAAAGAGGCAAUUCCCCGCGCACUUUCGUUCCUGAUUGCAAAAUCGGUCACGCGGAUUAUGUUACGCGCGCCGCUCCGUUCGCGUCGCGCCAACGUUUCCAACGCUGCAAUGGAACACACCACGACUGCGAAAUCACGCGAAACGGCCGCCGUUCACAAUUUCUUCGGGAACAUCGGAAUGCGCGAUGCGAAGCGACGUUGCUGGAACGGGGAUCGGGGAUCCAACUUGAUUGGACGGCUGGAAAGAUCGGCCAUUAUCGUGACGCGAUUAAUCCAUUCGUGCGAGAAUUUCUUUCUUCCUUCUUUCGGGGAGAGAGAAAGAGAGAAAUAAAGAAAUCUCGUUUGCGAUUCUCUCGCGGAUAGGCUCGAUCGCGAAUAAGUUAGUCGCGAGACGAGAGCUCGUCCUAACGAACUCUCGUAGAAGCAUCGUCCCACUUUUAGGCCUCGCGUCGUGGGAGCGCAUAAAUAGAGGAGUCGAUGCAUAACUCAAGGUCUAUCUAUCGGGAACGUUGGCAUUAGGAAACGUUCCAGAAACCGUGUUUUCACCACGACCUUUCUUCUUGAAACGCGCGUAAUAAUAAUAAUAAUAAUCCUGCCUCGCGAAAGAAGUAAGAAAAGGACAACACGAACAAUUUCAAUUUCAUCAAACGAAUCGAAAAAAAUCAAACGUUUCAAAACCGAAAGGCCGGCGACAAGGGACGUUUGAUCCGCCGGCCAUCUCGUCGACGAUAUCUCCGUUGACGUCACGGACGAAGAAGAACGCGAAUUUAGCUUCCCAGCCGCCGAGACAACGCGCCGACUCCUUUUAACGAGUUCCAAUUGAAAGGAAAUGGAGUAAUGAAAAGCGCAGCGGCGAUGGCGCCCUUCGUGAAAGGGCGCCAACAGCGAUCACACGGCGUCAUCUUUCCCCGUCACCUCCUCCCUCUAAUAAUUCUAAUCUAAUAAUCGUUUCCGCUCACGCGGCUGACCUCCUUCCCCCGACUGCGACGUUGAAUCGCCGAUUCUUCUCUCGAGGGGGCAAAGUUAUGACUAUCCGUCUUCGUGUAUCGUGUCUUCGUGCCACGAGCGUGACGCCAAUUAUCGCGAAGAAAGAAACCAAACGAUCCGACCCGAGCACUGUCGAGAGCUGGCUAAGUUGGCUAGCGGGACAACCUCAUCGAUCAUAGAUACACCACACGAUCUUAUUUAUAGCCUCAACAUUUUAUUUUCACAAUUCCCAAAUAUUCGUCUUUUUUGUCCUCUGCUCGUUCGAAAAUUAUUUAUUUCGACGUGUAAUUGCGCAACGAAAUUCGCGAAGAAAGAGAAAACCACCCGAGCGCUCGCAAUAAACUCCAAAUAGCUGUAAUAGCGGGUAUGCGCGGAUCGCAGCUUUAUAUCGAGGCAGCUCGAUUGCCGAGAGCCUCCGUCGAGAGGCUCGAGCGAAUUCUAAUUGGCUUCCCGUCUAAUUUAAUCGACACCCCGCAUCCGGAGAGAGAGAGCUCCAGCGUCGAGCUGGAGCACGUCUCGUUAGCCACGCGUCUCGAUCCCCCAACUUCGCUUGAUUGACGGACAUUAAUGGGUCACGGACGCGCGCGAAAAUAUUUUCGGCGAAGUUGGACAGAGAGAACGAACCGGUCCGCGGCCAGCGUGCGUUACCGUUAGCCACGCGGCCGCACGCUUCGCCUCGUUUCUUCGAAAACUCGCGCGCGCUUCGCCCGCUCUCCCCUCUCCUUCCCUCUCGCCCACCGAACACGAAAUAUUUACGACGUGACGCGCGCCUAGCGGUGGUCGACCAUACGCAAAAACCGCUUGAUGAAAAUAGAAAGCGUAAUCGAGACGCGCAAAAGCUCUCUCGCGGUGCACGCGCGUCUUUUUUCCAGGUUUUCUAAUUAAAUCGUUUUUACGAUAUCGUUUGAUACCAUCGAGAUUUGAAAGAGUAUAUCUUAUUAAUCGAUCGAGAAUGUUUAUUACGUAUUUUAUCAAAAGAAGAUUUGUUUUAAUUUAAAUUUCAUGGAGUAAUUCAUGGAGCGAUGAAAUUCUAAUUCCUAAUAUAUUUCGAUUUGGUAAUAUUUUUGCCAAAAAUGAAAAAGUGCAACGAAUGAAAGAAAGAAUAAUACGAAAGAGCAGGAAUUUACAUAUAAUAACGUAACAAUUGUGCAAUUAUCGCUAAAAGAAAAAUCUGUCCCGAAAGGAUCAAUCCUCGAUCCUCCUCUUUGGAUGACUGUGCAAAUGUUUAUCCGCUGCUGGAUCCUGCGCUCCAUUACUCAUCAUCAUCGUGAUUUUUUUUUCCGCGGGAUCCAUCGAUCGAUUCACCUCGUACGUUUUCAACGUUGAUGCAAAGACGAAUGUGUGACGGGCCGCUCGCGAAGGUUUUUUCGAAAAACAACCGUUACCUUCACCUUUGCCGAGCCGCUAAGAAUAGAGGAAACGAUAACUUACUCCUCGAUAAACUAUAUUAUUUUGCCACGGGUGUAUUAGCGAAGGGGAUCUAGACUACUAUAGGCCGACCCUUCUUUAUUUAUACGCUCUAAAAGUGGUAAAGAUAAUCGAUUCAUCGAUAUCUCUGCGCAUCGCGCGCCACUGUUGGAAUAUCGUUAACUCGACUUUCGUGCGAACGCUAUUCCCAUCUUGAUACAUUGUGGAAACGACAAGCGUCAUUAUCCCCGUCGUUUGUUAACGUCGUUUCGUUUCCCAAACCCGAUUUUCACUUUUUUUUUCUUUCUCCGUGCAUACGGAUAUAUAAACGAUAAACGACGACUUUUGCUCGAUAAUUUCGUUUCGAAAUAAUUGUACAUUCCGUUCAAAAUUUGUUUCUUCGAAAAAUUUAAAAACGUAGAAAUUGCGAUUAAUUAAUAUAUAGGGAUUCAGUUCAUUUUUUAAAAUUAAAAAAUUUCGGAUUAAUUUCUGAAUCCAAUUGAUUAAAGAGUGUGCGUAGAAAUGUUAAAUAAAGUCUAAAAGAGAAAUAAACGUGUUUAACAUACCAUGAAACGAUCAAAACAGAAGUGGAAUUCCGAUAAUAAUCGCGCGCAUAGUCCUAAUCGGUCUUUACAAACAUCAUUUGGCAACUAUCGCGAUCGAUACUUGGCACGAACGUGGGUUAUUUUAUCUUUUAUGCGUUAUGUAUUUUAUAUACGAGCCGUUUCAAAAGUCAAAUAGAUCAAAUACAAUACUCGAGUCUCGAAGAUGCAAGAUUAUCAUAAUUUUACAUUAAUAUUCUUCUUAUAUAUAUAUAUAUAUAUAUAUAUAGGGGAGGGGGAUUAAACUGCAAAGUCAACGUCAACAUGGUAUCAAAUAAUACGCGACAAAAUGUCGUAUGACAGUGUACGCUUUAAUAUUAUUGCAACCAGACAAACAGGAAACUGAGUGGAAAACAUUUUUCCCCGAGACAAAAGCACGUUAUCGAUCGUUUUAUUUCAUCGAGUAUAUGUUUCAUCAAUUCGCGUUACCUCUUAAAAAUAUACCGGCCGAUGAAUAUUUUUUCCACGACGUGGAAGAAUCAAAUCGCGUCACGAUUUAACGAAUCUCGAUCCGACCAACUUUCCUCCUUCCGCUGUUGACGGUAAGCCAGUUUCGGAUUCCCAAUUUUUCGACUCGUCGUCGAAAGCGCGAAACUUGUUCGUGUAAAAGCCAAGAGAGAGAAGCACGAUCAGCUGUUUGGCAAUUUAAAAUGUAAAAUUAACCCGGUGAUCGAGAGCGGCGUGAGAGAGGCCGCUCAACAGGCAACCUCUCGUCGAUAGAUUAUUUGCACAUAUUUCCAUGUGAAACUCUCUCGAGUUCUCCUCUCCUUUUUUUUCUUUUUCGUCCCCUCCCCCUCUUUCGAAAUCGCGACUACGAUUUAUUUCACGUGUAUUUUACUCUAAUCGUGCAUCGUCACUCUCGCCAUAUUCGCACGUAAGAAAUCCCUCUUCUUCCCUUCCGGACGUAUCAACCAUUUACCAUUCACGCUUUCGUAAUAUUUAUAUACGAGAAGGGAAAGUGACGGAAAGAAACGAGCGGCAGAUGAGAUCAGCCCGGCCGUGACGAGUAUCGUGAAACGGGCAGAUCGCACUUGUCCUUUUUCGUCGAGAAACGGAUCCGAGAUUGCUCGUUUCAUCGAGCGGAGAUGCGAGAGAUUUCGCGAUGCAUCCGCGAUGAGAAAUUUUUCUGGGAAGUCGGAAUUCAAGAGUUUCGAGAGGAAGAAAACGGGAAAGUCGAUCGAUCGAUAUUGCGAAUAGGGACCAUGGUUGCUCAUGCGGCACAUCGAUUCGAGCACUUUCACCUAGACCCGAUCCUACUCCUCCGGAUCUCUUGCACGUAACGUAAUAAUUUAGAAACGAAACGAACAGCGUUUCGAGAGCCGAGCUCUCUUGUCUUUCUUUUCUUCUUUCGCUCUUCUUCUUUUUACGCUCGCAAAACGGAGGGGGGAGGGGGGGAAAGAAAGAAAGAAACCACGAUACACGAUUUACAUCGAUCGAGUACCAUAUAAUUCGCGACCGAUCUGAUUAAACUCGGCCGAUUCGUGGAACCUACUCGAUAGGCGUUGGUUUAAAUGUAUCGAGAUGUUGCCAGGUUUUCGGUUUAGACGGGAUCUAGCACACGGCCGUGUGCUAAAGCGAAAUUUUCCAAGAAACGGGGAUAACUCGUUGUAAUGUAGGGAGACAGUAUCUAGAAAAGCACGCGAAUCGAGAGAGAGAUAUAAUUGACACAGAUAACUAUUCGAUCGGUCGCCGUGCAGAGGAAUGUUUUUGCAGCAAUCGCGCGCGCGCGCGCUGUGAACGCUUCGAUCCGUUCGUUGCAGAAAGAAACGGAAAGAGCGCGUCGUCGAUAUAUACGGCGAGACCGGUAUAAUAAAAAUCACCUUUCAUCCCUGAUUAUUUUUUAUUGCGGUUGUUGCGUUCGCACACUGGUAAAAGUAUAGAGUUCGCUUGGAACAGUGGUCGACCUUUAUCGCGGCUUGCUAUCCUUCCUUCCACGCGCCUCGUUAAUAAUGGACCUCGAUCUAACGUAAAAAUAAAACAUUUUACGCGCGUCGCUGCCCUCGCCGCCUCGUGGAAUUUUCGAGCGUUCCUCGAUUCGAUCCAGAGAGACGGAGACAGAGAGAGAGAGAGAGGGAGAGGGAGGGAGAGGGAGGGAGAGAGGAAGGGAGGGAAAGAGGGAAGGGCAGGAAGGCCGAUGGAACGAAACGCGAAUACCGGAGCGAGGUGCUCGCGCGUGCGCGUAAAAAGCGAAUCGUUCGCUUCUUAUCGAGGGUGUAACACGAGACAAUCCGAUCUGAUUACCGGUAAACGGCCUUCCCGGGGAACUAUGCAUCAAACAGGCGUGUUACCUGCUCCCGGCCGGCAAGUCAACGAACGAUCUUAACCCGUAAAUGUCGCCUACAACGGAACCAGUUUCGUCCCGUUUCAUGGCGGUUGGUCGGUUCAUCGAUACACGGGUGACGUCACAUUGCAUUAAGAGGACUGGCUAUACUCUUGGAGAAAAGGGUCGAGGAAGGGUCGAGGGAAGAGAGAAAAAAAUCGUGGCACUUUCUGAGAAAAAGAGAGAGAGAGAGUAAAUCGGACAAGGAAUGGAAAGAGAGAAAGAGAGAGAGAGAUAGAGAGAGAGAAUCGCGAAGGGUGGCGGAUCGAUAGUACGACCUUGAGACUUGUCGUCGCCUCGGUACGCCCGAGCAACCUCCGGUUCUCAUAAAAGAGAAUUACCGUUGGGAAGAGAGGACACAGCGCGUGGACGUGUACACAACGCGCAAGUUCUCUGAACAGUUUGAAGAGGGAGAGAAACGAACGAGAAUGAGGUAAGAGCGCGCGGAGAGGGAAAGGGAGGAGUGGGAGAGGCAGAAAGAGAGAAAGAAGUAUCGCACAGGGUGUAAAGAGCGUAAAGAGAGAGCGAUGAAGAAGGAGGGAGAAACGAGGGAAGAAGGAAACAAAAAGCGAUCGAACGAUACGAUACGCGUUUUAUUUUAAGAGAUAUUUUCACGAGGAAUGAUCGUCGAAAUGUAUGCACAUACAUAUAUCUUUCCCGGCAUUGUAGCUAUUUACGUACCACGCCCGCGAUAAUGCACGUUUCGACCGAUCGUUCUAGCAUCGUUCGGCCAUUUUGAAUACACAUAAUGACGUCAGCGACAGAAUCUGGGAAACGAGCGAGUCGAGAAAGGCGUGUCAUCCCGCCGUGGCCCGGCAAUUUUCUCGUUGUUGGAUUCUCGAGUACUCCCGUGACCUCAGACUACAUCGAUCAACCGAGUCUAUUCAUCCGAGAAUGGCACACAGGACAAACUCGAGCAUCUCUCCCUCCUGCUCAAGAUGUAUUUUUAUUAUUCUCGAGAAUAGAAUCGGCGAGAUGACUUGCCGCGCUGUUCCUCUUUAUCUCAGAGAAAACGACAAAGAAAUAACAAUGAGCAGCUAUGUAUCGUGCUUAAUUUUCGCUCAAAACGGAUGGAUUUCUUUUCCUUUUUUCCCCAUCUUUUCUCUCUUUUAGUAUUUUUUCCUUUUUUCUUUUUUUUUUUCUUUCCAUAUAUGUUUUUCAUUUGACAAAAAAGACAAUGCACGAGAACACCGGAUAAAGAACGAACGAACGAGCAUUCACCGGCGACCAAUGUAACCAUGCGUUCUCAUCGAAACGGAGAAACUUCGAUGUGCAUCCGGUGCAUGCUAUUGUACGACUUCACGGGUAGUCUGUUCGUUCACGGUUCGUACGUAUCGGCUUUGAACCGUGCCGUUUUUCGUACCUUCGUACUUCCUGUUACCAAGAUCUAACGAUUUAAAACGCAAUGUUUAAUUUAUUUAUAUCUAUAAUCUAUUAACAUAGCGAGUAAAUAAUUCGUCAAAAAAAAUCAUGUUAUUAACACAUAAUAAUUGCAAUAAUAAUUAAAUAUGCAUGAAUUUAAAAAAGUAGUUCGAAUGUAAGUAAUUCGCAAUUUGUAUAAUGACAAAAUGUUGUAUAUUAAUGAUGUAAUAUUGAAAAGAAGAAGAAAAAAAAAGUAAACAGCUCAAUAAAGAUUAUUUUUUUCUAUAAUGCAACUAUCUUUGACGAACGACGAGUUUAUAAUACUUUACGAUGACUCGCACUGUCACACGUGAAGAAUAAUCACGUUACGGGAGAAUAGCCUAGAGCAAAUCUAAUCCGUUCUCUCCUUCUAUCAAUCCGAGAAGGAGGCACGUUUGUCCCAGUUUCUAGAACCAUCUUACAAUAGAUACAACUUACGUUUCGCCUACAAUAUCAUUACUUCUCCUUUACAAGAACUGAAUAAAAAUUAGUAUAUCUACAUCCUCUAUAUCCUUCAAUACACUUCUAUACGGUUAUUUGCGAAGAAAUACAAGGAAAUGAGAAUUUAUAUUGAAAUUUGGUCGAAAUCCAAUAACGGAGAAAGCUUACUUCAAAAUAAAUCGGAAUCAACGUUCGACCAACUGACUAAUCAAACCAGACAGAAACGACUUUACAUAAACGAACGAGCGAUGAAUCAUCGAUAUAAUUGGCAAAGAGAUCGUUCUCGUUUCAUCUUUUCGCUACGAUUUCGAUUUGGAAGCCAACAAAAGAAGGGGAGAAAAAAAUAACCGGCGAAUAACUUUCUUCCCAACCACAAGUUACGAACAUAGAUAGCUAGAUCAGGUGUCGCGUCGCGAUAGUAGAAGCUUCCCCUUAGAGGCCGCGGAAUUUAGAUAGCGACGCUUCCGGCUGCACCGCUUACGUAGUGCGUAAAGGCGUUACGUAACGCACGAGAAGCGGAGACCGAGUAGAGCGUAACAAUCUAUCGGAUCUACGCACAGUCGCCGCGCGGGUGAACGUUCGGCAAUGUUCGUGAGAUCUCGGCCGAACUCGCCACCGAGGCUCGACCGAUUUACCAUUCUAUCCUCCGCAUCUUAUGCGCGCGCAUCUCUCGCGCACGCAGUCGACGAUUUAAAACCUAUCGAAUUUUUCUCCCUUUCCCCGACAAUAUUCUAUACCUUUUAUUUCGUUCGAUUCCCCUUCUAGAACCAUUUUAUAUAACCGUCGAAAUUUUUUUAUCCGUUCACGCUUUUUAACGCCCACGCGUCCAUUUAUUUAUCAACACCCGUCAACGCGAUUUCAAAAGGCGCAGCAAACGCCACAUCAUUGAACGCGAUACAGUUUGGAACGUUCACCACGGAAUUUUACUCCGCGCGUGACAAUAUCGCGUUAUGUAUUUGCGGUGCAAUGCGCACCGCGAUCCGCCGUCCGCAUUUCUUCGUUCCUUUUCCACGAAUGCACGUACGCGCGCAUGUUUUUGCACGCCGCCUACCGACCGUCGUUUCUUUCGCACCGCGCGGCCUUUAAGAAACUACAUUUCAUACGAGCCUCGCUCCUUGUUAUCCGUUCCAUAAUGUCGAGUUCUUUCGUUUCUUUUUUUCUCGUUUUUUUUCCUUUUUUUUCUUUCUCCUCCUAUUUCCUUGGUCCGUGCGCACGCGCACAUCCAGCUCGCUCGAUAAGCGAAACAUGGCUCAAGCGGAUGGGAUGGCAAAGAUCAAAUAUUCCAAAGCUGAUCGAUGGAAUAUAUAACAUCGACUAACGUUCGAUGACGUAAAAUCAUUAUAAUUGCUCGUUCCGACGGUAUCAUGCGACUAGCAGCCGAUAGGAACGUGUUCGUUCCAUUCAUUCGCGGAUUCUUUAUAGAUGGACUCUCAGUUAUGCUCCCAAAUGAGCGUCCUCGACAUAUAAAACCUUACGUGUGGAGGAACAUUUAAGUUCGAACCGAAAAGGACGUCUCCUAGAAAUAUAUGACGUAUCGAUCGAUCCAUCUCGGUCGAGGAUCUAAAUUACUCCUUUUUUUUUAUUUUCUUUUUCUCUUUUUUUUUUUUUUCUAUCGUUUAUAAGAGUUUACAGUGUACUUCUAAAAUUAGAAGAUGACUGUGAGUUCACGCUUUUAUUGGAUAGAAUUAAUCCGUUGAAAGUUUUACCGUUGUCGUGCAAGCUUGAAAAAAUUUAAUUAAAUGAAUCGAAUAAAUUGCGUUUAAUUAAUUGUAAAAAUGUUUUCGCAAUAUAUAGAAAAAAAAAAAAAAGAAAAAGAAAAAGAAAAAGGAGAAAAGAUCGUUGAUUUCGUGGUUAAAUAAUCGUGGGUCAGGAAGAUCAACGCCCGUAUGAUUCCUGUAUGAUAACCAAUCGCUUAAUUCGCGAACAACUCCGAUGUAUGUGGCUUUAGUGAAUUAUAAAUCGAACUCGCGCGGAUUGAUUUAACGAUACCACGUUAUGAAAAGCAAAUGUGUCCGUUGUGUAUCUUGGAGCAAAAAAAGUAUGUAAUCAUUUUGCAGAUACACUCGUGAUCGCUCGUUCGACUUUGCUGAUUUUUUUUGUUACAUUAUGUUAAUACAUACAUUUUGCGCGUUGUUUACACAGUUCACUAUCCAAGCGACUUCGACACAGUAAUAACGUGUAAGUGACAUCACAGACAAACAUUUAAAUGAUAAAAACAAUCAAUAAUGAAAUACGGCAGGCCAAUAUUAUAUAAUAAUGAUAACGAAAUAAUAUAAUAUUAAAAACAUUGGGUUACGUAUUCUGCAGAAAUGCCUCUAGGAAUGCCUCUACAAUCUUUUACAUAAAUUUGGUGAAAACUGAAUUUCCAACGCAUAUCUUCACGUUCCGUAAACGUUUUCACCCGCGGUUCGUUCCUAUAAAUCCGAUCCUGACCGCUCUCUACGAUUAAGCACUCGUGGAAUGCUUUCUCGUUACGAUCGAGCCGUCCAGUCGACAAAUAUUCGAAAGAGAUGACGUAUACGUGCCCCGAUAAAUCAACUAUGCCCGUUCCUAUCAUGUUAUUUAUAAAUACGAGUCACUGCAAUUAAAUCGUUCCGCGAUAAAAUCAAUAACAACCGAAGAGUAAUAAAAAGGAAAAAAA